rnacentral:lncRNA from 1 species
CUCUAAUCAAACGGCCUUAGGUCUGUAAGAGAGAAAAACAGUUUCCCUCUGCCCUCCUGAGAUCUUAGCUGGGGCUCUGGUAACAAAGACUAUGAGCAAGAGAAAGCAGCCCGAGUUUGUCACCAGGUAGAUUUCACGUACAGAGGGAGAGAGCAAGGCAAUGAGGAACUCUCCAUGAGGUGGCUUAGGACUCGGGUUAGACGGCAUCCUCAACAAGGCGGUCAGGUUUGGGAGAAGGUCAAGGUAAAAGAAGAGAAGUUUAGGGUGCCCGGGGGGGGGGCAAUGUGUGGGAAGGCAAAUAGACAGGAAAUGCUUGGUGGUUAGAGUGUGUUCCUGCUCCAGGCUGAAGAGGAUCUGAGUUGUCCUCAGUGAUCAACUGUUGUCCUUCCUGGUAGAGAGGAGAGGAGGACCCCCCUGUACAUGUGUGUCUGCAUAUAUUAUUUAAAAGGAAGGAAGGAAGGAAUCCUGUCAUUUGUGGCAACAUGGUGAACCUGGAAGAUGUUAUGGUAUGAAACAAGCCAGGCCCAGAGAGACGAACGCUCUGUGAUCUCCUUUACUUAGAGCAUAACGGAGGUCACUCCAGAGGCCAGAGGAGGGGAGGGGCACUGGAGAGAAGUGGU